GGAUGCUAUUCUUCUUGAACCUGAAAAACAGAAUGUCAGUGUGUUCUGUGAAUUUCCUGUGAUUUUCACCAGUGGAACACAUGUCCAGAACCAAGCUGAGUCCCUUCCAGAGCACAUUUUUCUAGGUGCUGGAGAGAGAAAAUAGGACAAGUUUCCAAAUGCUAAGGGGAUAUAAAGGAGAAGAUAAAUGCAGCAUGGGGACCAGCCAUAGAACUGUCAUGGAGUGGGACCACACUUGACUCCUUUCCAGUAGCAGAAUCUUCCCAGAGGACUUUUCCUAAGAAAAUGAUAUUUGUGUCCCUUUCAAAAUGACAUUUUUAAUUGCACCUAGGAAUGGGCUAUCACCAAACACCCUGCCUCCUUGUCCUGGUGGUUAUUUUGAUGAUUGAGAUGACUCAGCGUUAACCUUGAACACUUCAAAACCAAGUACCAGGAAAUGUGGAGUGUCCUCUAAUGUCUUUUUAAACUUACAGGGUCUAGCCUAAUGAUAUUAGCUGAUUUGAUGGCAGAAAAUAGGCCUAUCUAAGCAUUCUGCAGACACUUGGAAGAAAUUAAUAAAUGUACCUCAUUCUAGUACAUGAGAAACACUAGGAUUAUUACAAUGAAGAAACAAAGGUAAGACACGAUAGAACAAGAAUGCAUUCCUUGGGACAAUGAAAACCAAAAAAAUAUAUAACUUUGGUUUUUUGUUCCAUAAUGAAGUUGUUUACAGAAUAAAACAAUAAGAAGAAUCAAUGGGAAAAUAAAAAGGAAAAUCCAGACAUUAAAGCAGCAUUUCAUGUCAUCAACAUGGGUGGCUUCUCCACCUUCCUCAAAGUAGAAUAGCAAACUUUUAAGUUCCCAAGGUGUUUACCUACUUAGCCACACAUACCAUGGGCCCACUUCUCAGUGGCUUUGAUAUACCUAGCAUGGUCUAAAGAAGUGUCAGACUAACUCAUCUUACAAAAGGAACCGCUUAAUAAUAAAAGAGCUGUGCAAGUAGCUUGUUUCAUCUUAAUUAGCCCAAGAUGAUGCUUCUGAAGUGCUGUGCUUUCUUAUCUAUCCUUCCUGCUGCAAGGGAAGAAGACUUUGACAUCUUUAACAACUCAGCCUCAGGAACCAGAAUCAGGAGUAGCAGAUCUUGCAUUGGCAUUGUCAAAGAAGCUGUAAAAAUGGGUGCCUAAAAUAAAUUUGCCUUUGUAUUGGAA